GGCUCAGGAUGAACGCUAGCGGCAGGCUUAACACAUGCAAGUCGAGGGGUAUAGUUCUUCGGAACUAGAGACCGGCGCACGGGUGCGUAACGCGUAUGCAAUCUACCUUUUACAGAGGGAUAGCCCAGAGAAAUUUGGAUUAAUACCUCAUAGUAUGUGAGAAUCGCAUGGUUUUCACAUUAAAGUUCCAACGGUAAAAGAUGAGCAUGCGUCCCAUUAGCUAGAUGGUAAGGUAACGGCUUACCAUGGCGACGAUGGGUAGGGGUCCUGAGAGGGAGAUCCCCCACACUGGUACUGAGACACGGACCAGACUCCUACGGGAGGCAGCAGUGAGGAAUAUUGGACAAUGGGCGCAAGCCUGAUCCAGCCAUGCCGCGUGCAGGAAGAAGCAUCUAUGGUGUGUAAACUGCUUUUGUACGGGAAGAAACACUCCUUCGUGAAGGAGCUUGACGGUACCGUAAGAAUAAGGAUCGGCUAACUCCGUG
rnacentral:rRNA from 1 species